rnacentral:rRNA from 1 species
UACGUAGGGUGCAAGCGUUAAUCGGAAUUACUGGGCGUAAAGCGUGCGUAGGCGGUUCAUUAAGUCGGUUGUGAAAUCCCUGGGCUUAACCUGGGAACUGCAGUCGAUACUGAUGGACUAGAGUACGGUAGAGGGUGGCGGAACUCCGGGUGUAGCGGUGAAAUGCGUAGAUAUCCGGAAGAACACCGAUGGCGAAGGCAACCACCUGGGCCUGGUACUGACGCUGAGGUACGAAAGCGUGGGGAGCAAACAGG